GCGCUUGCUUCAGUAGCACAUAUACUAAAAUUGGUACAAUACUGAGAUUAGCAUACCCCAUGCACAUGGAUGAUAUGCAAAUUUGUAAAGCGUUCCAUACUUAA